GGCCGCGGUCCUGGGCUGAACUCUUUAUUAAAACGCUCAAAUGUUCAGACGAGUGUUAAGUCGCUGUUACACAGAGACUCUGGGACGCCAUUCAAAUGACAAAACGUUCCUCGGGUCAUAAAUAUUUGUACACAGGUCCACAUCUGCCUCCCCAUGCAGAACUCCAUGAAAUGAAUAAAGCACCACAGCCUAUAACAGGACCCCC